GCUUGUCUCAAAGAUUAAGCCAUGCAUGUCUAAGUAUAAACAACUUUAUACUGUGAAACUGCGUACAGCUCAUUAUAUCAGUUAUAAUUUAUUUGAUGGUGAUUUACUACAUGGAUAACCGUGGUAAUUCUAGAGCUAAUACAUGCUGUAAAGCCCGACUUCUCGGAAGGGCCGUAUUUAUUAGAUAACAGACCAGCAGCUUCGGCUAUUGUGGUGAAUCAUAGUAACUAAUCGGAUCGCAUGGGCUAGUCCCGCGACAAACCAUUCAAGUUUCUGCCCCAUCAGCUUUCGACGGUAGUGUAUUGGACUACCGUGGCUUUUACGGGUAACGGAGGAUUAGGGUUCGAUUCCGGAGAGGGAGCCUGAGAAACGGCUACCACAUCUAAGGAAGGCAGCAGG
rnacentral:rRNA from 1 species